UACGUAGGCAGCAAGCGUUGUUCGGAGUUACUGGGCGUAAAGAGCGUGUAGGCGGCUAUACAGGUCCGCUGUGAAAACUCGAGGCUCAACCUCGAGACGUCGGUGGAAACCGUAUGGCUAGAGUCCGGAAGAGGAGAGUGGAAUUCCUGGUGUAGCGGUGAAAUGCGCAGAUAUCAGGAAGAACACCCGUGGCGAAGGCGGCUCUCUGGGACGGUACUGACGCUGAGACGCGAAAGCGUGGGGAGCGAACAGG
rnacentral:rRNA from 1 species